rnacentral:rRNA from 1 species
AACGAACGCUGGCGGCAUGCCUAACACAUGCAAGUCGAACGAGACCUUCGGGUCUAGUGGCGCACGGGUGCGUAACACGUGGGAAUCUGCCCUUUGCUUCGGAAUAACAGUUAGAAAUGACUGCUAAUACCGGAUGAUGUCGAAAGACCAAAGAUUUAUCGGCAAAGGAUGAGCCCGCGUAGGAUUAGGUAGUUGGUGGGGUAAAGGCCUACCAAGCCGACGAUCCUUAGCUGGUCUGAGAGGAUGAUCAGCCACACUGGGACUGAGACACGGCCCAGACUCCUACGGGAGGCAGCAGUGGGGAAUAUUGGACAAUGGGCGAAAGCCUGAUCCAGAAAUGCCGCGUGAGUGAUGAAGGCCUUAGGGUUGUAAAGCUCUUUUACCAGGGAUGAUAAUGACAGUACCUGGAGAAUAAGCACCGGCUAACUCCGUG